rnacentral:rRNA from 1 species
CCCUUAGAUGUCCUGGGCCGCACGCGCGCUACACUGAUGCAUGCAACGAGUAUAUAACCUUGGCCUGAAAGGCCUGGGUAAUCUUUUGAACGUGCAUCGUGAUAGGGAUAGAUUAUUGCAAUUAUUAAUCUUGAACGAGGAAUUCCUAGUAAACGCGAGUCAUCAGCUCGCAUUGAUUACGUCCCUGCCCUUUGUACACACCGCCCGUCGCUCCUACCGAUUGAGUGGUCCGGUGAGGCUUUGGGAUCUGAGCGGAAAGAGCGUUUCGCUGUUUCUGCUCGGAAAACUCAGUCGAACCUUAUCAUUUAGAGGAAGGAGAAGUCGUAACA